UUCCAGAGGAAGGCUCGUCCGCUCUGGGGUAGUCGGGUCCUAAGCUGAGGCCGACAGGCGUAGGCGAUGGAUAACAGGAUGAUAUUCCUGUACCACCUAUAAUCGUUUUAAUCGAUGGGGGGACGCAGUAGGAUAGGCGAAGCGUGCGAUUGGAUUGCACGUCUAAGCAGUAAGGCUGAGUAUUAGGCAAAUCCGGUACUCGUUAAGGCUGAGCUGUGAUGGGGAGAAGACAUUGUGUCUUCGAGUCGUUGAUUUCACACUGCCGAGAAAAGCCUCUAGAUAGAAAAUAGGUGCCCGUACCGCAAACCGACACAGGUAGUCAAGAUGAGAAUUCUAAGGUGAGCGAACGAACUCUCGUUAAGGAACUCGGCAAAAUGACCCCGUAACUUCGGGAGAAGGGGUGCUCUUUAGGGUUAACGCCCAGAAGAGCCGCAGUGAAUAGGCCCAAGCGACUGUUUAUCAAAAACACAGGUCUCUGCUAAACCGUAAGGUGAUGUAUAGGGGCUGACGCCUGCCCGGUGCUGGAAGGUUAAGAGGAGUGGUUAGCUUCUGCGAAGCUACGAAUCGAAGCCCCAGUAAACGGCGGCCGUAACUAUAACGGUCCUAAGGUAGCGAAAUUCCUUGUCGGGUAAGUUCCGACCCGCACGAAAGGCGUAACGAUUUGGGCACUGUCUCAACGAGAGACUCGGUGAAAUCAUAGUACCUGUGAAGAUGCAGGUUACCCGCGACAGGACGGAAAGACCCCGUGGAGCUUUACUGUAGCCUGAUAUUGAAAUUCGGCACAGCUUGUACAGGAUAGGUAGGAGCCUUUGAAACGUGAGCGCUAGCUUACGUGGAGGCGCUGGUGGGAUACUACCCUAGCUGUGUUGGCUUUCUAACCCGCACCACUUAUCGUGGUGGGAGACAGUGUCAGGCGGGCAGUUUGACUGGGGCGGUCGCCUCCUAAAAGGUAACGGAGGCGCUCAAAGGUUCCCUCAGAAUGGUUGGAAAUCAUUCAUAGAGUGUAAAGGCAUAAGGGAGCUUGACUGCGAGACCUACAAGUCGAGCAGGGUCGAAAGACGGACUUAGUGAUCCGGUGGUUCCGCAUGGAAGGGCCAUCGCUCAACGGAUAAAAGCUACCCCGGGGAUAACAGGCUUAUCUCCCCCAAGAGUUCACAUCGACGGGGAGGUUUGGCACCUCGAUGUCGGCUCAUCGCAUCCUGGGGCUGUAGUCGGUCCCAAGGGUUGGGCUGUUCGCCCAUUAAAGCGGUACGCGAGCUGGGUUCAGAACGUCGUGAGACAGUUCGGUCCCUAUCCGUCGUGGGCGUAGGAAAUUUGAGAGGAGCUGUCCUUAGUACGAGAGGACCGGGAUGGACAUACCUCUGGUGUACCAGUUGUCGUGCCAACGGCAUAGCUGGGUAGCUAUGUGUGGACGGGAUAAGUGCUGAAAGCAUCUAAGCAUGAAGCCCCCCUCAAGAUGAGAUUUCCCAACUUCGGUUAUAAGAUCCCUCAAAGAUGAUGAGGUUAAUAGGUUCGAGGUGGAAGCAUGGUGACAUGUGGAGCUGACGAAUACUAAUCGAUCGAAGACUUAAUCAA
rnacentral:rRNA from 1 species